UCUCCAUCAGCAACGACGGGGGAAGCACGCAGGGCUCUGUCCUCUCCAUCAGAACCAGAAGCCUUGACGAUGGGAAGGUCGAACUGUUGCUGUCCUCCCUGUGCGUGGGGCUAGUCGUCCUGCUCAUCACGGCCGCUCUGGCCUGCGUCCUCAAGCACCCCCUAAUACAGGGCUGCCUGUGGCCGCAAGUCCCUGACCCUGCUAAAAGCCACCUGGCCAACUGGCUGCCACAGAAAGUGUGGCUGGUGAGUACACGUUUUUCUGCACAGAGAUAUGGUGGGUGCUGUGUGUUAGCUGCCCCUCUGCUCCCGGCAGGAAGUUGCUGAUUAACCAAAAGUUGCCAGUAAGACAGAGGAAGGUCCCUGGUGUGGGGCAGUGCUGGGGAAGUCCACAAGGAGCUGGGUGCUGGGGGCCUGCAGGGCUGCACGCUAACAAAAAAUAGUGUUAGUAAGUGGCCAGGCAGGUGCUAAUAUCCAGAUCCCUUGAACGUGAAAGCCGGGGGGUCAGGCUCUGUCCCCAGCCAAAUGUUGCUAAUAACUGAAAAUUGCCAAUAUGAGGAUUGCUAAUAGCUGGCUACACCUGUCCGCUACCCCCCUCCCUGCCCAAGGGUUUCCUGCUCCUUAUGCUGGGAAUUGGUC
rnacentral:lncRNA from 1 species